rnacentral:tRNA from 1 species
GCCCAGGUGGUGGAAUUGGUAGACACGCUAGCUUCAGGUGCUAGUGGCCGAAAGGCCGUGGAGGUUCAAGUCCUCUCCUGGGCACCA